UCGGGUGCUGCCGCCAUCGGCGCUGUCGUUCGACACGCAGCCCCGGCGCGGGGUUGGUGGUCGUGGACGCCGCCGCCACCAUUAGCGCGCUGCGCCGGUGCUCCUGUCUCUUGCAUGCCUGUUGUUCUCGUCUCUUUUGGUUCCUUUGGUUCCUUUGGUUCUUUGCUCGUCGUCUUUUUUUUUCUGCCGGUUUGCUUGGGUCGGUCUGGGUCGGGCGCGGGCGCCUGUGUGCCUCGGUACUUUUUGUCGGUCGGUGGGUUCCCUCUGGCGCGUCGUGCCGCACGCUUUCCCUCUGUGGGGGGCGCGCUUCUUUUCCCUUUCCGGUUACUCGCCACCGGGCGCUGCUCACUGCGCAGCCUCCAC
rnacentral:lncRNA from 1 species